rnacentral:rRNA from 1 species
UACAGAGGGUGCAAGCGUUGUUCGGAAUUAUUGGGCGUAAAGCGCGUGUAGGCGGCUUUGCAAGUCGGGUGUGAAAUCCCUCAGCUUAACUGAGGAAGUGCGCCCGAAACUGCAGAGCUUGAGUGCCGGAGAGGGUGGCGGAAUUCCCCAAGUAGAGGUGAAAUUCGUAGAUAUGGGGAGGAACACCGGUGGCGAAGGCGGCCACCUGGCCGGUAACUGACGCUGAGACGCGAAAGCAUGGGGAGCAAACAGG